UUUGAUUCCGGCUCCAGACGAAACGCUGGCGGCGUGCCUUAACCCAUGCAAAUCGAGCGAGAAAUUUUAUAAAAGAUUCCUUCGGGGAUGAAAUUAUAAUUUUUCUAGCGGCGGAUGGGUGAGUAACGCGUGAGAAACCUGCCUUUUACAAGGGGAUAGCCUCGAGAAAUCGGGAUUAAUACCCUAUGAUACUUCUUAGUCGCAUGACUGAGUAGUUAAAGCGUAAAGCGGUAAAAGAUGGUCUCGCGUCCCAUUAGUUAGUUGGUGAGAUAAAAGCUCACCAAGACUACGAUGGGUAGCCGGCCUGAGAGGGUGACCGGCCACACUGGAACUGAGACACGGUCCAGACUCCUACGGGAGGCAGCAGUGGGGAAUCUUGCACAAUGGAGGAAACUCUGAUGCAGCGACGCCGCGUGAACGAUGAAGGUUUUCGGAUCGUAAAGUUCUGUCCUAAGGGAAGAUAAUGACGGUACCUUAGGAGGAAGCACCGGCUAACUACGUGCCAGCAGCCGCGGUAAUACGUAGGGUGCAAGCGUUGUCCGGAAUUACUGGGCGUAAAGGGAGCGCAGGCGGUUGGAAUAGUCUGAUGUGAAAGCCCACGGCUUAACCGUGGAAGGUCAUUGGAAACUGUCCAACUUGGAUGCAGAAGAGGUAAGUGGAAUUCCAUGUGUAGCGGUGAAAUGCGUAGAUAUAUGGAGGAACACCAGUGGCGAAGGCGACUUACUGGUCUGUAAUUGACGCUGAGGCUCGAAAGCGUGGGUAGCGAACAGGAUUAGAUACCCUGGUAGUCCACGCCGUAAACGAUGAGUGCUAAGUGUUGGAGGGUUUCCGCCCUUCAGUGCUGGAGUUAACGCAUUAA
rnacentral:rRNA from 1 species